GAUGAACGCUAGCUACAGGCUUAACACAUGCAAGUCGAGGGGUAACGAGAGGAGAGCUUGCUUUCCUUGUUGACGACCGGCGCACGGGUGAGUAACGCGUAUCCAACCUGCCCCCAACUAGGGAAUAACCUUGCGAAAGUAAGACUAAUACCCUAUAAUUUCCUCAGAUGUCAUCUGACGAGGAAUAAAGAUUUAUCGGUUGUGGAUGGGGAUGCGUCUGAUUAGCUUGGUGGCGGGGUAACGGCCCACCAAGGCAACGAUCAGUAGGGGUUCUGAGAGGAAGGUCCCCCCCAUUGGAACUGUGACACGGUCCAAACUCCUACUGGAGGCAGCAAUGAGGAAUAUUGGUCAAUGGGCGGAAGCCUGAACCAGCCAAGUAGCGUGCAGGAUGACGGCCCUAUGUGUUGUAAACUGCUUUUAUACAGGAAUAAAGUUAGCCACGUGUGGUUACUUGUAGGUACUGUAUGAAUAAGGACCGGCUAAUUCCGUGCCAGCCGCCGCCGUAA
rnacentral:rRNA from 1 species